GACCACAGUUGGGUCGCCCGGAUACUGACAAAUAACAAUGCCUUUGCCUGGGAUGGGAGUUCCAGAUGCAGGCUUCUUGUUCUCAGCAAUGACUCCAAAUAUAAAGGACGUCACACCUAAAGCUGCGACAAUAAGAGACAUCAUCUUGACAGACACAGCCAUUGUUCCGCAGAUAAAUGUCACCACCUGAAGAAUUGAUCGAAGA
rnacentral:misc_RNA from 1 species